AUAUUGAGGGGAGUUCCCUGUGCUAUACAGCUUAGAGAGGAUGACUGGCUGGUCCGAGUUCUCACAGUAGUAGAGUUUGGAGGCUCAGUACAAGCGUUCUGGCGUCUCCGUGUCUGAAUCCAGCCGUGGCAGUCGGGAGUCAAGGAUCACACAUAAAUCUGAUUCUCAUGACAUUUCAGCCCAGACCAGACCCCACCAGAAACCUCCAGGUACUGCAACUAGAGAACUGCAGCCACUCUCCUGGGGGUGUAGAGGCUUCUGCCAGAGAGCUGGUGGCUCAGGGGUGUGGACCAUCCAAGGAAUGACUGCCAGUGGACAAAGUGACUUUCUGGUCCUGGUGGAGGCACCGGUACCAGGCGAUGGGGGCUAAACUGUAGGGAACAUGGGGCCAAGGUGGCACUGAGGGGCUCCCCGCUGCCUCUGGGGCAAAGCCGCUCACAUUCUGUUCAAAGGCAGGGUCCUGGCAUCCACUGGCUCGCCAGGUGCUCUCAGCAGCAGGCAGAGGCAUUCAGGGUCCAAAUCUGCCUAUGCUACUCAUCAGCUGGGGGACCCAGGCACAGGACCCAGUCUCUGUGCCUCCGUUUCCUCAUCUGUGCCAGUUUCCUGUGGCUGCUGCAACCAAUUUACUGUGCACGACAAACAACCACAUAUCAGGGGAAUUAUGACAGCAGAAAUUUACUCUUCCACAAUUCUGAAAACUAAAACUCUGAAAUCUGGAUCCCUCUAGGAGCUCUAAAUGAGAACCGUGGAGUUCCCGCAGUGGCACAGUGGGUUAAGAAUCCCACUGCAGCUCA